rnacentral:rRNA from 1 species
AACGAACGCUGGCGGCAGGCUUAACACAUGCAAGUCGAACGCCCCGCAAGGGGAGUGGCAGACGGGUGAGUAACGCGUGGGAAUCUACCCAUCUCUACGGAAUAACUCAGGGAAACUUGUGCUAAUACCGUAUACGCCCUUCGGGGGAAAGAUUUAUCGGAGAUGGAUGAGCCCGCGUUGGAUUAGCUAGUUGGUGGGGUAAAGGCCUACCAAGGCGACGAUCCAUAGCUGGUCUGAGAGGAUGAUCAGCUACAUUGGGACUAAGACACGGCCCAAACUCCUACGGGAGGCAGCAGUGGGGAAUAUUGGACAAUGGGCGCAAGCCUGAUCCAGCCAUGUCGCGUGAGUGAUGAAGGCCCUAGGGUUGUAAAGCUCUUUCACCGGUGAAGAUAAUGACGGUAACCGGAGAAGAAGCCCCGGCUAACUUCGUGCCAGCCGCCGCCGUAACAC